rnacentral:rRNA from 1 species
UCAGACGAUGCGUCAUGCAUAUCAAUAAGCGGAGGAAAAGAAACUAACAAGGAUUCCCCUAGUAACGGCGAGUGAAGCGGGAAGAGCUCAAAUUUGAAAUCUUAAAGGGUUUCCCUUUACGAAUUGUAGUUUAAAGAAGUGUUUUCUGUUGAGGUUUUGGUAAAAGUUCUUUGGAAUAGGACAUCAUAGAGGGUGAGAAUCCCGUAUUUGACCUUUACUUUCAACUUUGUGAUACACUUUCAAAGAGUCGGAUUGUUUGGGAAUGCAGUCCAAAAUGGGUGGUAAAUUUCAUCUAAAGCUAAAUAUUGGCGAGAGACCGAUAGCGAACAAGUACCGUGAGGGAAAGAUGAAAAGAACUUUGAAAAGAGAGUUAAACAGUACGUGAAAUUGUCAAAAGGGAAGCGUUUGACACCAGUGUUGUUUUUCUGAAAAUCAAUUAAAGAACUGUUUAUGCUAAGCUGUUUAGACUUUAUCAGCUAACUGUUUAGUUUUGAGCUUUUCUUUAAUGCACUUUUCAGUUAACAAGUCAACAUCAAUUUCUUUUGCUGUAAAAAAGCUUGAGGAAGGUGGCUUGAGAUUCGUCUUAAGUGUUUAUAGCCUCUUGCCUAUGCAGUCGGAGAGAUUGAGGUCUGCAGCGUAGAUCCUUCGGGGCUAAAUGCAUUUGUGCUAAGUUAUAGCAUUUUAUAGACAACUUGUUGACUAUGAUUUGCCUUGUAGCUUACUCGCUUAUGUUAUUUUACCUACGCUUAGGAUGUUGAAUCUGUGCGAGACUAC